rnacentral:rRNA from 1 species
GACGAACGCUGGCGGCGUGCCUAAUACAUGCAAGUCGAACGAGAGCGACCGGUGCUUGCACUGGUCAAUCUAGUGGCGAACGGGUGAGUAACACGUGGGUAACCUGCCCAUCAGAGGGGGAUAACAUCCGGAAACGGAUGCUAAAACCGCAUAGGUCUUCGAGCCGCAUGGCUUGAAGAGGAAAAGAGGCGCAAGCUUCUGCUGAUGGGUGGACCCGCGGUGCAUUAGCUAGUUGGUGAGGUAACGGCUCACCAAGGCCGUGAUGCAUAGCCGACCUGAGAGGGUGAUCGGCCACAUUGGGACUGAGACACGGCCCAAACUCCUACGGGAGGCAGCAGUAGGGAAUCUUCCGCAAUGGACGCAAGUCUGACGGAGCAACGCCGCGUGAGUGAAGAAGGUUUUCGGAUCGUAAAACUCUGUUGUUAGAGAAGAACAAGUGCUAGAGUAGCUGUUAGCGCCUUGACGGUAUCUAACCAGAAAGCCACGGCUAACUACGUG